rnacentral:rRNA from 1 species
ACGGGUGAGUAAUGUCUGGGAAACUGCCCGAUGGAGGGGGAUAAUUACUGGAAACGGUAGCUAAUACCGCAUAACGUCGCAAGACCAAAGUGGGGGACCUUCGGGCCUCACACCAUCGGAUGUGCCCAGAUGGGAUUAGCUAGUAGGUGGGGUAAUGGCUCACCUAGGCGACGAUCCCUAGCUGGUCUGAGAGGAUGACCAGCCACACUGGAACUGAGACACGGUCCAGACUCCUACGGGAGGCAGCAGUGGGGAAUAUUGCACAAUGGGCGCAAGCCUGAUGCAGCCAUGCCGCGUGUAUGAAGAAGGCCUUCGGGUUGUAAAGUACUUUCAGCGGGGAGGAAGGCGGUGAAGUUAAUAGCUUCACCGAUUGACGUUACCCGCAGAAGAAGCACCGGCUAACUCCGUGCCAGCAGCCGCGGUAAUACGGAGGGUGCAAGCGUUAAUCGGAAUUACUGGGCGUAAAGCGCACGCAGGCGGUCUGUCAAGUCGGAUGUGAAAUCCCCGGGCUUAACCUGGGAACUGCAUUCGAAACUGGCAGGCUAGAGUCUUGUAGAGGGGGGUAGAAUUCCAGGU